UACCUGUGUCUUUCAGACCUUUCUGAAGUUCUAAGAUUCGGUUCCUUUGGGAUAGUGAGUUUAGAUCUUCUGCUGGAGUUAACUUGAUCAGCCACCUAGAUUCAAUAACAAACUCAUUGAACCUAUCAACGUAAAGGUUUAUAGUAUUAACAAAUUCUAAAUCUCCAAUAUGUAACACACACCUUAGCUUCUAGUUUUUGCUUUUUGGUGUCUUGGUUUUGCAACUUAGAGACUAAGAC
rnacentral:lncRNA from 1 species